rnacentral:rRNA from 1 species
AACGUAGGUACCGAGCGUUAUCCGGAUUUACUGGGCGUAAAGCGUGUUCAGGCGGCCUGGCAAGUCGGGCAUGAAAUCUCUCGGCUCAACCGAGAGAGGCUGUCCGAUACUGCUGGGCUUGAGGACGGUAGAGGGUGGUGGAAUUCCGCGUGUAGUGGAUGAAUGACGUAGAUAUGCGGAGGAACACCAGUGGCGAAGGCGGCCACCUGG